ensembl:lncRNA
CACAUUUGUUAAAAAACAAAAUACUCAGUAUCUGUCUUUUGCAAUCUUCACAGACCUAAAGAAAUUCUAGCAGAUGUCAGUACCAAACUUCUUCAAGAAAAUGAGUGGAGCAGAUCUUUAUUUACUUCUCAUACUACAAGGCCAGUCCUAGAGUCACCAUGCAAUGGAAAUCUUAAUGAUAAUUUAGAUCUCAACAGAAUACAUAUCCCAAGAGAAACCUUAAUGAUUCCUACUUCAAGCUCAUUGUCUUCAAAUAUCAGAAUGGAGAACGACUUGUCAAAAGUUAGUUGCUCCUGCUGCCCGUGCCAUCAUGGCAUCUCUCUUGCUAGCCAAUGCCACCUCCUUUGCCCUGUCUCUUCCCAGGUAGGCCCCAAUAGAAUGGCUUUUUGCAUGCCCUGUCACCACCUCCUCUGCACUAAUUCCACCUCCAGAUGGAAUGUAGGUAAAUUUUAGGUGCUAUGGUCUAGGUUUAGGGGUCUCCUUGGAUGUACCUAGUACCCAAUUUUCUCUCCAUGUUCUUACCACUGAAUUCUCAGGGAUUUAACAAUCAACUUCCCUCUUGCUUCUAGCCCUCCCCACUGUCUUUGACAUGCUUUGCCUGUAUGCAGAGGAUUAUCACUGAAGGCUACAAAGUUAUAAUUGGGCAGAGUCAUCUAUAAUUAGAUGCAAGACCUAUGGACCUAGGGGGUCCACAGACCAAAUGAGGGGAAGAGGUCACUGCUUGGUUGGGAGCAUAUAGUAAGGGUGCACAAUAUCUGAAGCUCUUCACAGACUAGGGAUACCUGGUCUAGUGUGGGAAAGGGAUGGAAAGGGUGCUCUCUCCCUUUUACAAUGGAUGAGAAUGGACAGAGAGCGAGGAUGCUCACAUUCCCCUAGUUUUUUCUUCUCUCUGUUUUUCAGGUUGCCCAUCUCUACACAGUGUGGAGUUCUUCAACACUCCACACUGUAGGAUUUUCCCCUUGGAUGCAUUCUCAAAAGUUAGGACAAGUCUGAUCCCCAGACAUUGAAGGAAACUAUAUUAGUUUUCCUUUGCAAUGCUUCAUAGCCUCAAUGCAAACUAUAUGACUAGGAAGACUGGCCAGAAAAUGGUAGCCCUAAUUUUAACACCAUUUUGCAGUUGGACCUACUUUGCAGGUGACAGGGAAAAUGGUCAGAGGUGCCCUGUAUCCAGGUCAUUAUGGCUCUAAAAGAAGACCAGGAUCUCUGCCAAAAAUGCAGAUGGGACUCUGCCAUCUUGGCUCUCAUGAACCCCUCAGCAGAUAAUUCUCCCAUAAAUGUCUUAGGAAAUUUCCCAGCAGAGCAUCCUCAGCUUCCUUUAAUCCUCCCACUGAGGAUCCAAAGCCACCAGCUCCUUGUUCUCACCAGAGGAAUAGGAAUGGGCACUGGGACAUGAGGCUCUGGAAGCUGGUAUCAAUUGGGAGAAGUUCUUCAUCUACCUUAAAAUGUUCAAUGGACAGUUAAGUAUGCUUUGCAUGACUCUUGCCACUUUUGCAAGAAACAACUUUCAAUAAUGUGCAAAUGGUUCUUUUGGGAAAAAAAAUAUUUCCAAGACUAUAGAACAAGUUUGUAGGGCCUGUGCCCUGUGCACAUUAAACAUUUUGCACAUUAAACAUUUUGCACAUUAAACAAGGAAGCAAACCUCCUUUUCUUUUCCAGCCAGUCCAAUGGAGGGUCACUUACCCUGGGGAGGACUGGCCACUUGACUUCACCCAACUUCUUGCCUGUCAGGGAUAUAAAUAUCUUCUGGUCUUUGUAGACAUAUUUACAGGUUGGAUAUAAGCUUACUCCUUGUGAAUGGAAAAAGCAAUGGGGGUAGUAUGGGCCCUUCUCAAGGAGGUCAUCCCUGGUUUGGCAUCCCCAGGUUGCUGCAAAGUAAUUAUAGUUCAUCCUUCACUUCACAGGUUACUCAACUUGUUUCCCAGGCCUUGGGAAUCAGUUACUUUCUAAAUUCCUCCUGGCACCCACAACACUGUGGAAUGGUUGACAGAAUUAACAAAUCUCUCAAGCAAAUCUUGGAAAAAUUAUGCCAGGAAACUUCAAAGCCAUAACCAAAACAACUACCUAUUGCUCUACUAAGGGUGAGAAACAUACCCAUCUCUAGCUUACAACUCAGUUAUUUUGAGUUAUUAUGUGGAAGACCCUUUCUUCAAUUUCCUAUUGGAUACUGACCUUACCAAUUCUAAUUAUGUUAAUUCCUUCUCGCAGUUUCAGCUGGUGGCUCAAAAACUAGGCCAAAAUAUAUUUCACACCCUGAAAACUCUGACCAAAUUUUAAGUCCACCUGUACUCAAGUUCUCAUCAAGAUUUGGAAGGAUGGAACUCCAGACUCUCAACUGAGUCUUAUUUGGAGAGGUCUUUACACUGUUUUACUCUCCACUCCUAUCACAGUUAUGGUGCCAGGGAUGACCAAGUGGAUCCACUAUUCCAAGGUAAAGCUAUAUGAUGCAUCUCUGGCAGAGGAAGUCCUAGAGGUGCCAUUGGACACCUGGACCACUUGUCCCCUCCAGGGUCUCAAACUCCUCUUCAAGCAAAGCCAAAAGAAUAAACAUAAGUAAAUUAGUAAUGCUUUGGCCUGUUAUACAAUGAGUCAAAAUACUCCUUGUAGGUUUACUAAUAUGUCUUUGCUACUGUGAACCAACACACUCUCCAAGAAAAGGUCUGUUCUGUACUACCUGGAUUUAAAUCUCAAAGUCAUAAUCUGGGUGGCAUUCUCUAAUACUCACUGAGUUAACAGCUUCUGUUUCCAUAAUCAAGAGACAUCCUGAUUUGACUUUAAUCUGUUCUCUUUGGGAACAUGCAACCCAGUGCUCUAUGCUCACUAAUGCUUCUAGCUAAAAUCACCCUCAUAGGCCCCAGCAGCCCACAACCACAACAAAAGACUCUACGGGUAGCUCAACAACUACUAAAGUUCACCAAAUCUUCCUGUGCCUCAUCCUGAGGUUAUAAAUGAAUUCUUUCCACCCAGGGCAGGAACAGACUCCCCAGCCAUGAUACGAGCAUAGGCAACUAUUCAAGCCCAAUUUAAAUUCACCUAUCAUUGGGACCCCUGUAUACAAAGCCUUCCAAGAGAUGUUAUAUGGUACCUAAUACAAGUUAAAGUGGACAUUCAAGCCUGGAUUAAGUCCACUUGCACUGUUUUAGGCCCCAUUAUUCUCCCCCAUUACCCUCAUCAGCCAGGCACCCCUAGGCAUCACUACUACCAGAGAUUCUGGAACUUUUGUGGGUUCUCUUAACCCUGAACACUUCAACACAGCCAUCAUCAUUAUUAAUAUCUCUCAUACUUUUUUUCUCUAAAAACUAAAAACUCCAAAUUUCAAGUAAGGUUCUUUACCCUACCAAGCCAGUAUUGGGUCAUGGAAAAAUUUCAAAUCUUUAACUCCCUUUGGGAGGUUCUUCUCCUUGACAUUACUGGACACAUGAUCCUUUGGGAAAGAAGAACCAUUCUUCUAUUCAAAUUAGUCACCUAUGUCUGGCUCCUUUGGCAGCUGAAUCUUUAGUGACAGAAUAUCACGUCUCAGGUAGCCAACAAGGAUAUUGGUCAAUGUUUGGAAUUGACCUGCCUCCUUCAGUAUCCAUCCUUGUCUACCUAUGACAUAACUUUAUUUUCUAUGUGGGACACAGGCCCACCUCUGUCUCCCUGCAAACUGGACUGGAGCAUGCUCUCUGGCUUACCUCACUCCUAACACCCCCAUUGUGACCAGUGAUGCUUCUCGGCCCUUGCCCUUAUUUAUGACCUCA